UGAGGAAUCUUGGACAAUGGGGGCAACCCUGAUCCAGCCAUGCCGCGUGAACGAUGAAGGCCUUAGGGUUGUAAAGUUCUUUCAACGGUGAAGAUAAUGACGGUAGCCGUAGAAGAAACCCCGGCUAACUCCGUGCCAGCAGCCGCGGUAAUACGGAGGGGGUUAGCGUUGUUCGGAAUUACUGGGCGUAAAGCGCACGUAGGCGGACUAUUAAGUCAGGGUGAAAUCCCGGGGCUCAACCCCGGAACUGCCUUUGAUACUGGUAGUCUAGAGUUCGAGAGAGGUGAGUGGAGUUCCGAGUGUAGAGGUGAAAUUCGUAGAUAUUCGGAGGAACACCAGUGGCGAAGGCGGCUCACUGGCUCGAUACUGACGCUGAGGUGCGAAAGCGUGGGGAGCAAGCAGGAUUAGAUACCC
rnacentral:rRNA from 1 species